ACUACAAAAAUUAGCCAGGCUUAGUGGCGCGCGCCUGGAGUCCCAGCUACAGGCUGAAGUGGGAAGAUCGCUUGAGCCUGGGAGGUAGAGGUUGUAAUGGGCUGAGAUCGCACCACUGCACUCCAGCCUGGACACCCACCCCGCCCUGGUCAGGACCCCCACUAACCGGGAACGUCUACCCAGGGUCUGGGUGUUCCCUUCUCUGGAGCCAGACUCCCUCAACUUAGACUGUGCGGUGGGGAGACCCCUUUCAAAGCAGGGGGACCCUCCUAUUAGAGUCCAGGAAACCCGCGGGAAGUAGAGUGGGAGAUCUCCCUGGUGGACCCCAGUGUCCCCGUUGAUCCCAGGCCUGGAGUCCCUGAUUCUCAGAGAAGGCCCCCAACUCGUGUUACCCAGGGCCCCACCUCAGUUUACCCCACAGGGUCUGCAGCGCUGAGUUCUUCCCUGGGGUAGGGUUGGGGGUCUGGUGGUAUUUCCCGGUGAGGAGGUGGAAAUGCAUCCCAGAGGGGAAGAGAUGAAGUGGGGUCACAUUCUCCUGGGAGUCUGGGUCUUGGGCAGGUCCCUACUCUUCCCCGAACCUCAGUCCUUCUCGCACCCCAAGCGCCCCUAGGCCACGCAGCUGGUCACCAGCGAGCCAGGGGUCACAGAAGGAGGCAGUCCAUACCCUCACACCCUACUGUGUGGCUGCGGGAGGGCAUCAUCCUCUCUGGGCCGCCCUGGCUAUUCCUCCGGGCCAAGCCAGACCUCACUAUACCCGUCUGUAAAAUGGGCCGGGAGGGAGGCAGCUCAGAUUCUCGACAGCCCCACUUUUUUCCCAGCGCUGCGGGCAAUAGAAGUUUUGGGCACACAAGAGCCACAGGUGCGGGGGACCCUUCCCUCCCCAGCGGUGGAAACAGAAGCAAGUGCGGUGGGGCAGGGCAGGAAGGGGCCCAGGAGGCACUUCCCUUCCCCGGCGACUCGGAGAACUCUUGGGACCGCUUUCACCCGAAGGCCGGCCCAGACACUCAACGGCGACUUCCUUAAAACACUGGAGAGCCACCGCGCCCGGCCAAGGUGGGCUAAUUUUUAAAUUCUCC
rnacentral:lncRNA from 10 species